UCGAGAAUAGUCUACAAUGGACGAAAGUCUGAUAGUGCGACGCCGCGUGAACGAAGAGACCUUUCGGGGUGUAAAGUUCUUUUCUGUGCGAGCAGGGGUGGUUACAGUAAUAUGGUGAUCAUCUUGAUAUUAGUACAGGAAUAAGCCACGGCUAACUCCGUGCCAGCAGCCGCGGUAACACGGGGGUGGCAAGCGUUGUCCGGAAUUACUGGGCGUAAAGGGCAUGUAGGCGGUUUAGUAAGCUUGGCGUGAAAGACCACAGCUCAACUGUGGGGUUGCGUUGAGAACUGCUGAACUGGAGUUACGGAGAGGGAGCUAGAAUUCCUGGUGUAGGGGUGGAAUCUGUAGAGAUCAGGAGGAAUACCAGUGGCGAAGGCGGCUUUCUGGACUGACCCUGACGCUGAGGUGCGAAAGCGUGGGUAGCAAACA
rnacentral:rRNA from 1 species